CGGUCAGUCGAGCUAUCACUUUUAAAACUGCACGUCGUCCCGGCGGCUAUCAUAAUAUACUACUCUGUAAUUAUAUAGUUCGACUCGUAUUAAAAUUAUAUUGGUUACCGAAAAUCCUUAGCACUGUUUUGUUGUACUUUCUGCUAAAAAAAUUGCAUCCUCGCACCACCGGAACGAAUGAAACGACCCGUACGAGCACGACGACUCGCACGGGCGCAACAACCGGUGGCUGCGGCGUCGCGGUCAUAAUUUUGAUUGAAGAAACGCCCGGUGAAUGACAACUAAUGUAUCUAAUGUGUACGUCUACUCGAGGUGAUUAGUAUUUCCAUUUGCAAACAUUGAAACUACUUCACUUCGUUCGUCGCGAGGACCAUUUUAUACGGGGCGGUGUACGAGUCACUGUCGUCGAAUUGUCACGGGCGUUUGUGUGCCGUUGUCAACAACGCACGCGCCGUCCGUAGUGGGCAGGCAUCGUGUUCGACUUUUGUGUUCCACUCUUCUACAUGUCCGUAGCCGUCGUCGCCGUCGCCGUGUCGCCGGAGCAGUUGUUGCCGUCGUGAUAAACUGUUACGCCGACGCCGACCCGCGCCGUGAUAUUCACCAUGCGGAUAACAUUGUAAUAUAACUCUACUACUAUUGAACAUUAUUAUUAUUAUUAUUAUUUUUUUUUUCUACGCAGUAUCGACAGAUAUGCGGAGUACAAGACGUUGCCGUUAUUAAUAUUAUUACUAUGAGUAUUGACGUAAACUAUUAUUUUGACAUCGGUUGUGAUAUUAACUAUUUGGAGCGGUGAUGCUGCGAUACUCUUAUCCAAUGAAUUUAUUAUUAUUAUUAUGGUAUUACUAUUUUCUGCAACAAUACGUAACUCCUCUAUGUACCGACUAGACAAGUUUGUUGCCGGAGCAAGAAAAUAGGUAAAACAAUUGAGGAGCUAAAAAUACAUAGUGACAUUUAUGUAUUAAAACUACGCUCAGAAUAUAAAUAAGAGCUGAUACUGCUAAAUGUUUAUGAAUACGUCACUAUUGUAGAUGACAAGUUGAAAAGGUAGGGUGCAUUAAGUUUUUUAGUUGAUAUAUAUUAUAUAUGAAACGAUAAAUGGGAAAUAAAACUGGAAAGUGCCGAAAUGCCUAUAAAUGACUAAAAAAGGACAAAAUAUUUUUAAAUUUGCCCACGUCAAAAAAGGUUAUACAAAUAUCAAGUUUGCGAAUAACAAAAAGAAACAAAAUCGAAAUAAUUAAACGUUAACUUUCAGAAGUUUUUCCUGUUUUCCUUAAUUUUUAAGAAAACUACUCAAUCCGUAAACAAGUUAUCAUUUUAUUUCAGAAAACAUAUAUAUAUAUUUAUUUUUUCUGAUAUUGGACCCUUGCAUCAAGCCAGAAAUUUACUUUUUUUAAUUUAUGGGUUUUUUUAUUUCAUAUUCAUUCACUUCACACGGUUAUUAAGUUUUAUUAUUAACUAAUAUUUUAUUAGUUACCUUCAGAUUAUAGACCUUCUGACGCAAUCAUGAUUUUUUAUUUUUUUUAUGUAUAAAUAAAUAAAUAAAUUGUUCUGUAGCAUAUAUUUAUAACGCAUAAAUACAUACGCUUAUAUAGUAGAAUUAUCUUUCUGAUCAAUAAACGCCAAUUUUUAUCAAAAGUUGCGAAUUUCCGAUCAAAUCGGUUUAUUCAAAAUGAUUUUUAUUCACUUGAUAAAUGCCUAACCAGUACGGUACAGUACAGUAUAUAAUGUAAUCACCAAUUCAUAAUGUUAUACGAUGUUUACUGAUUGUACUGAUACUGGUCGUGUGUCUGCAGAGAAAAUCCAGGGGUGGGGCGAAAUUAUAUUUUGCAAAACGGACAAACACAUAUUAUACAACUAUGCAUAAUUAUUACCCAAAUUAUAUUUUAUCAGACUAUAAUUUGCAAGUGAAUGAAAUAUUGAAUUUGAAUAUAAUGCAAUAUCUGAGAAAAAUAUGGUUUGAUAAUAACAUAAUAUGUAUAACAUGAUUAAUAUAAUAACAUUAUAUUUACAAACGAAAAAUUCCGCAUAUAAUUAUUAUAAUAAUAUAUUAUUUACGCACGUCCAUUUUACAAAUUAAAAUUAAAAUUAUGCCUAUUGUAGACAAAACGAAAAAAAAUUAUGUAUAUCUAUAAUAUAUAAGGAGCCCAAAUCGUGUAUACCUGACGACGAGUAGUUUUAGUAUCCACGAGUGUUUCUAAAUAUUUACGUAUUCGUAGUUAUAUGCAUACCAUUCGACACAACAAGUCUAGUUAUUUUUUCAACAUAAUUACAAUAUAAUUUAUCAUAUUUCUAACUGUUUAUUCGACCGUUUUUACACACCCUUGCAUCCUACAAAUGACGC